AUGGAUGCAGCAAGUUACUCAUAUACUGAACAUGGUUUUCAAGUUGCAAUGGAUGAGUUAAAGACAGAGUGUGAAGCAGCUUGGGUGUGGCUUAGCAAAAUACCCAAACACACUUGGGCCAGACAUGCCAUGGAUGUGAACUGCAAGACAGACUUAGUUGUUAACAAUCUAAGUGAGGUUUUCAAUAGGUGGGUCCUAGAUGUUAGGGCUAAGCCAAUAAGGACCAUGGUUGAUGGAAUUAGGACAAAGUUGAUGGUCAAGUUCAAUGCAAAUAGAAAAAAACUGAUACUGUCAAAUGGGAGAUUUGUCCUACAUAUGCAGAGAAACUAG
rnacentral:rRNA from 1 species